rnacentral:sRNA from 2 species
CAAGAAUCGCUUUAGUAUUCCAAAACUGUUUAAAAAACGAUCACAAGGCACUGGACGGUACGCCAUGCUGGGCAAUACUUAAGCCACUGACGGGUCAUCAUUCCCCAAAUGACUCGCCAGUAAAGGUGCCUAAGGACUAGCGUGCCUUUGUUUUACUCCUAAUGGUCUUAACCCGGCUUCACCCCCCCAGAAUCCGG